CAGUCGCCGCGGUAAUACGGAGGGGGCUAGCGUUGUUCGGAAUUACUGGGCGUAAAGCGCACGUAGGCGGCUUGGUAAGUUAGAGGUGAAAGCCCAGGGCUCAACCCUGGAAUUGCCUUUAAGACUGCCGAGCUAGUAGGUGAGAGAGGUAAGUGGAAUUCCGAGUGUAGAGGUGAAAUUCGUAGAUAUUCGGAAGAACACCAGUGGCGAAGGCGGCUUACUGGCUCAUUCUAGACGCUGAGGUGCGAAAGCGUGGGGAGCAAACAGGAUUAGAUACCCGCGUAGUCCCUGUCUCUUAUAC
rnacentral:rRNA from 1 species